GUUUAUUACACACAUCCCCGCAGCAGGCACUUCAGGCACUUCGAAUCUGACUUUUAGCGAGCACAACUGAAGUUUGGAUAUAUUUUUGAUAGCUGAACAACAAAAUCCAACUAAAUUCUCCUCUGAGCAUGGACAGCCCACGGAAACAGCGCCCGAGACCAAAGAAGCUUGACAAACCCAAGCUAGACGAGCAUCCAUCUCAGGCCGUCGAACACAAAAAGGAUAUCAUCGAUGAGGUAGCGGAUCAGUCAGUGGUGUACGAUUACAUGAACUAUCCCAGCAACAAGGCGAAGGGAAAACUCUCAAAGGGCGUAAAGCCUCUGAAAAGUGUCACAUUCAAGACGGUGGUGGAGCUGGUGACCUAUUCGGAAAACUGGAAGAUGAAGAAGAGCGAGAGCAGGCUGCGCACGGAGGAGGAGCAGGUCUGGUUACGGCUGCUAAAGUCGAGUUUCCGAGCCUCGGGAACCAAGUAUUUCUGAUGCAUUUGGACAAACUUAUGAAAUAUUUAUAGUUACACAAGCACAAUCUAAAUAAAACUCAGCUCAUUACUUUUUGGGUACGUUUUCCAAUGCGUCAGCUCAAGCACUCCUUGAAACGUCGCAACUAUUGACGAUCGCCGCUGAAAUUAUUGUUUAUUGUAAAGAAAUAAAUUGUUAUGUUUUGGUAAAAACUAUUUCAAGCAAAA